rnacentral:rRNA from 1 species
UACGGGGGGAGCAAGCGUUGUUCGGAAUUACUGGGCGUAAAGGGCGCGUAGGCGGUCAGGUAAGUGAGGUGUGAAAUCCUCCGGCUCACCCGGAGACACGCAUUUCAUACUGCUUGACUAGAGUUCGGGAGAGGAAACGGGAAUUCCAGGUGUAGCGGUGAAAUGCGUAGAUAUCUGGAGGAACACCGGUGGCGAAGGCGCGUUUCUGGCCCGAUACUGACGCUGAGGCGCGAAAGCCAGGGGAGCAAACGGG